rnacentral:rRNA from 1 species
GACGAACGCUGGCGGCGUGCCUAAUACAUGCAAGUCGAGCGAAGAACUUCGGUUCUUAGCGGCGAACGGGUGAGUAACACGUGGGCAACCUGGCCUCAAGCCUGGGAUAACACCGGGAAACCGGUGCUAACACCAGAUAAUCUUAUUCUUCGCAUGAAGAAAAAGUAAAAGGUAACACUUGAGGAUGGGCCCGCGGUGCAUUAGCUAGUUGGUGGGGUAACGGCCUACCAAGGCAACGAUGCAUAGCCGACCUGAGAGGGUGACCGGCCACACUGGGACUGAGACACGGCCCAGACUCCUACGGGAGGCAGCAGUAGGGAAUUUUCCGCAAUGGGGGCAACCCUGACGGAGCAACGCCGCGUGAGUGAAGACGGCCUUCGGGUUGUAAAGCUCUGUUCUUGGGGAAGAAAACAAUGACGGUACCCAAGCAGAAAGCCCCGGCUAACUACGUGCCAGCCGCCGCAGUAACAC